rnacentral:rRNA from 1 species
UGCCAGCCGCCGCGGUAAUACGGAAGGUGCGAGCGUUAAUCGGAAUCACUGGGCGUAAAGCGCACGUAGGCGGUCGAGUUAGUCGGAUGUGAAAGCCCUGGGCUUAACCUGGGAACUGCAUUCGAUACUGCUUGACUCGAGUAUGGGAGAGGGUAGCGGAAUUCCGGGUGUAGCGGUGAAAUGCGUAGAUAUCCGGAGGAACAUCAGUGGCGAAGGCGGCUGCCUGGACCAAUACUGACGCUGAGGUGCGAAAGCGUGGGGAGCAAACAGGAUUAGAUA